CAGAAAAUAACCCACCUGUAAGAAGAGACUUGUUCAGUAUUGUAUCAGUUGCUAAACAACAGCACCACAUAUCCAUCACAACUGGUUUUUUGUUUAUUAAAACUGGGGAAUGCCUGGUUACCUGUGCUCAGACUUAAAGUACUUUCACCCUCCUCUAAAAAAAUAGUAGCACUGAAGCUGCAGUGUUAAAUACACCAGUCCUAAAAAUUACUGUUGUAGCUUAAUCUGGCUUCCCUCAUUUAUUUAUCUUAAUCACAAAUGGGAGAAAAGGGUGAAGAGGUGGUGUUUCAGUUCCUAGUCUGUAGUCCUUUGAUGCCUAUCUCAAUUAGGAGGAAGUGAUAGGGGCAGAUUAGGAUUUGGGGAUAGGGACAGAUUGGGAUUUGGAGAUAGGUAUAGAUAAAUAAAUCUGAAUGUGUGAGGUAAAACCAGAUGCAUCUUGUUAUAUGGGCUGCUUUCAGAAACUUGGAUUUGUUUUCUUUCAGCCUAGACCUGCUGAUAACUGGAGGUGUUUGCAAGAAACUCCCCAGCAUCUUGCCUCCCUCCAGCUCAUUGUGGCUGCGGCUUUAGCAGCUUCUUGCUGGGCAGUGGUGCCAGAAACAAUGUUAGGGGUGAGACAGUGGAGAAAAGUGUACUGUUAUUCAGCUUGGCUUUGUGGAGAGUACAGCAGAAGAAAUGUGUUGCUGCUUUCACUUCAAAGGCAUUGCUGAUUGUUUUCUGAACUCGCUGUGGAUCUGAGAUGGAUGCAGAGGGUGUCCUGAAGCUCAGGCUGACCUUCUUCAUAUGCCAGCAAGGUCAGCACUUCAUUUUUAUAUUUUCUAUUGGUGAAAUUCAGCUUCACUGGAGUGAGUCCUGGUUAACAGCAGUCACUGUUAACAGACUGGGAAGAAAUCAGAGAGAUCCAGAUCAAGCUGUCAGCCCAAAUAUUCUUGAGAGCCUGGGUAGGGAAUAACACUGUCCCAUUUCGUUAAAAUGGAAGUGAUGGUGAUGAGAAUGUUCAGAAUUUGCCCAUGCUUAAAUAUUUUUUAUUCAGAGUAAUACAUAAAAACUGCAGGAGUGCAGAAGCCUAGUUGAGGGGGAUGAUAAUCUGUAAUGUACAGUUGCUGCUUUGAGGCUCUCAACUUCCACAUUUUGAAGCAAGAAAUCUCUAAAUAAAUUAUAGAUAGCCAUAUGUAGU
rnacentral:lncRNA from 1 species